ACCAACGACCAAACCACGUUGAGUAUAUCAGUUCUCGUUAGAUCACUGAAGUUAAAUAACGUCGGGCGUAGUUAAUACUUGGAUGGGGGACCGCUUGGGAACUCUAUACGUACCGCUGGAU